UACAGAGGUCUCAAGCGUUGUUCGGAUUCAUUGGGCGUAAAGGGUGCGUAGGCGGCGCGGUAAGUCGGUUGUGAAAUCUCGGAGCUUAACUCCGAAACUGCAUUCGAUACUGCCGUGCUUGAGGACUGGAGAGGAGACUGGAAUUUACGGUGUAGCGGUGAAAUGCGUAGAUAUCGUAAGGAAGACCAGUGGCGAAGGCGGGUAUCUGGACAGUUCCUGACGCUGAGGCACGAAGGUCAGGGGAGCAAACGGG
rnacentral:rRNA from 1 species